GAAAGUGGGGCGGAGGUGGGGUAGAGGAGAUCUCUCCAGGGGAGAGAACUGCUUGUCUUGCAAGAGAACAAAAGGUACAGGGCUCUCUUUGAAAUAUGCACUUCCAGGUCCAGGGUUUAUGCUGCUAUGCACAAAGAUUGAUCAAGUACUUCAAAAUGAGAAGAGGGAAGUUUGGACACAGACACACACAGACAAGAGAAUACCAUGUGACAAAGGCAGAGAUUGGAAUGAUACAGCUGCAAGCCAGGGAUGCCAAGGAUUGCAGGUGAAGAGUCAAGGAAGGAUUCUACCCAGAGUUGCACGGCCUUAUUGACACCUUGAUUUGGGCUUCUAGACUCCAGAAUCAUGACAGAAUAAAUUUAUCUGUGUGGAUGUGUGUGUGUGUGUGUGUGUGUGUGUGUGUGUGUGUGUUUUCCUAAAAAAGAGACAAGGUCUCAUUCUAUCCCCCAGGAUGGAGUGCAGUGUCAUGAUCAUAGCUCACUGCAGCCUCGAUCUCCUGGACUCAAAGCAUCUUCCCACCCCAGCCUCCCAGGAAUCUGGGACUACAGGUGUGAACCACUGUGCCGGCUCUGUUGAUUUAAGCCACCGAGUUUGUGGAACUUUGUUAUGGCAGUUCUAGAAAAUGAAUAUAAUAAUUAAAAUGAAAGUUUUGCUAACUGCUACCUUUACCUUUACCAUGUGCAAUUUUAUUUUAUUCUUUUUUUAAGCUUCUUAUAACUCAGUUCACUGGUUUCAUAAUCUACUAAUGGGUUGUAAUCCAAAGUGUGAAUAAUAUACCAGAAAUACCCUUGAAAGUUCUUUCCAAACUUGAGAGUUUGUGAUUCUAUGGGACCUAAGUGGGGCACAGAUCAGAAGAAUCAAAACACAAAAAAG
rnacentral:lncRNA from 10 species